GACGAACGCUGGCGGCGUGCCUAAUACAUGCAAGUAGAACGCUGAAGAGAGGAGCUUGCUCUUCUUGGAUGAGUUGCGAACGGGUGAGUAACGCGUAGGUAACCUGCCUGGUAGCGGGGGAUAACUAUUGGAAACGAUAGCUAAUACCGCAUAAAAUGGAUUAUCGCAUGAUAAUCCAUUGAAAGGUGCAAAUGCAUCACUACCAGAUGGACCUGCGUUGUAUUAGCUAGUUGGUGGGGUAACGGCUCACCAAGGCGACGAUACAUAGCCGACCUGAGAGGGUGAACGGCCACACUGGGACUGAGACACGGCCCAGACUCCUACGGGAGGCAGCAGUAGGGAAUCUUCGGCAAUGGACGGAAGUCUGGCCGAGCAACGCAGCGUAAGUGAAGAAGGUUUACGGAUCGUAAAGCUCUGUUGUAAGAGAAGAACGAGUGUGAGAGUGGAAAGUUCACACUGUGACGGUAUCUUACCAGAAAGGGACGGCUAACUACGUG
rnacentral:rRNA from 1 species